CCUACGGGUGGCAGCAGUGAGGAAUAUUGGUCAAUGGACGAGAGUCUGAACCAGCCAAGUAGCGUGAAGGAUGACUGCCCUAUGGGUUGUAAACUUCUUUUAUGUGGGAAUAAAACAGGGUAUGCAUACCCUCUUUUAUGUACCAUAUGAAUAAGUAUCGUCUACCUCCGUUCCAGCAGCCGCGGUAAUACGGAGGAUCCGAGCUUUAUCCGGAUUUAUUGGGUUUAAAGGGAGCGUAGGUGGAGUGUUAAGUCAGUUGUGAAAGUUUGCGGCUCAACCGUAAAAUUGCAGUUGAAACUGGCAGUCUUGAGUACAGUAGAGGUGGGCGGAAUUCGUGGUGUAGCGGUGAAAUGCUUAGAUAUCACGAAGAACUCCGAUUGCGAAGGCAGCUCACUGGACUGCAACUGACACUGAUGCUCGAAAGUGUGGGUAUCAAACAGGAUUAGAUACCCUAGUAGUC
rnacentral:rRNA from 1 species